UACGUAGGGUGCGAGCGUUGUCCGGAAUUAUUGGGCGUAAAGGGCUCGUAGGCGGUUUGUCACGUCGGGGGUGAAAACUCGGGGCUCAACCCCGAGCCUGCUUCCGAUACGGGCAGACUAGAGGUAUGCAGGGGAGAAUGGAAUUCCUGGUGUAGCGGUGAAAUGCGCAGAUAUCAGGAGGAACACCGGUGGCGAAGGCGGUUCUCUGGGCAUUAACUGACGCUGAGGAGCGAAAGUGUGGGGAGCGAACAGG
rnacentral:rRNA from 1 species